GUAGGUGAACCUGCGGAAGGAUCAUUAACAAAAUUACCCCCAAGGGGGUUUUAUUCAAUGUUAUACCUUUAUGUGAAAUUUAUAAAAAAAUUUUUACUUUUUUAAAAAUAAAUCAUAUAAAUUUUUUAAUAAUAAAUAAAAUAAAAAAACAACUUUCAACAACGGAUCUCUUGGCUCUC
rnacentral:misc_RNA from 1 species